rnacentral:rRNA from 1 species
CAGUCGCCGGGGAACACGUAGGGUGCAAGCGUUAAUCGGAAUUACUGGGCGUAGAGCGUGCGCAGGCGGUCCGCUAAGACAGAUGUGAAAUCCCCGGGCUUAACCUGGGAAUGGCAGUGGAUACUGGCAAGCUAGAGUGUGUCAGAGGAUGGUGGAAUUCCCGGUGUAGCGGUGAAAUGCGUAGAGAUCGGAAAGAACACCAACGGCGAAAGCACUCUGCUGGGCCGACACUGACACUGAGAGACGAAAGCUAGGGGAGCAAAUGGGAUUAGAUACCCCCGUAGUCCCUGUCUCUUAUACA